ACCCCGUUGCCAGGGCAGUCUGAUUAGAAAAAUACAACUAAUCAUAAGGGUUGCGCUCGUUAAUGGACUUAACCAAACAUCUCACGACACGAGCCGACGACGGCCAUGCAGCACCUGUCACCUUGUUCAAUAAAGCACUCUCGCCUUUCGGCAAAAUUCAAGGGAUGUCAAGCCCUGGUAAGGUUCUUCGUUUAUCAUCGAAUUAAAGAACACGCUCCACCGCUUGUGCGGGUCCCCGUCAAUUCCUUUAUGUUUUAGUCUUGCGACCGUACUCCACAGGCGGGAUACUUAACGCGUUAGCUUCGCUACUGAAGGGGUCGAUACCUCCAACAGCUAGUAUCCAUCGUUUACGGCGUGGACUAC
rnacentral:misc_RNA from 1 species